rnacentral:rRNA from 1 species
GCAAAUUGACACCGUAACUUCGGGAGAGGGUGUGCCGCUGGCGGUUAGUGACUUCGCGUCACGAAGCUGUCGGUGGUCGCAGUGAAAUGGCGGUUGUGACUGUUUACUAAAAACACAGGACUCUGCGAAGUCGUAAGACGACGUAUAGGGUCUGAUGCCUGCCCGGUGCUGGAAGGCUAAGGGGAUAUGUCAGCGCAAGCGAAGCAUUGAACCGAAGCCCCAGUAAACGGCGGCCGUAACAAUAACGGUCCUAAGGUAGCGAAAUUCCUUGUCGGGUAAGUUCCGACCUGCACGAAGGGCAUAACAACAUCCGCACUGUCUCGACCAGGGACUCAGCGAAAUUACAUUGGGGGUGAAGAUGCCCUCUACCCGCGGAAAGACGGAAAGACCCCAUGAACCUUUACUGCAACUUGGCAGUGAUUUUCGGGUUGUUCUGCGUAGGAUAGGUGGGAGGCUUUGAAGCCGGGCUUCCGGGUUCGGCAGAGCCAACGUUGAAAUACCACCCUGAAUAAUCUGGAAAUCUAACCUGCGCCCAUGAUCUGGGCGAGGGACACUGCCUGGUGGGCAGUUUGACUGGGGCGGUCGCCUCCUAAAUUGUAACGGAGGCGUGCGACGGUUCCCUCAGGCUGAUUGGAAACCAGCCUUAGAGUGCAAACGCAUAAGGGAGCUUUACUGCGAGACUGACAAGUCGAACAGUUGCGAAAGCAGGUGUUAGUGAUCCGGUGGUACCACAUGGAAGGGCCAUCGCUCAUCGGAUAAAAGGUACUCUGGGGAUAACAGGCUGAUCGCGCCUGAGAGUUCACAUCGGCGGCGCGGCUUGGCACCUCGUUGUCGGCUCAUCGCAUCCUGGGGCUGGAGCAGGUCCCAAGGGUUUGGCUGUUCGCCAAUUAAAGCGGUACGCGAGCUGGGUUUAAAACGUCGUGAGACAGUUUGGUCCCUAUCUUCCGUGGGCGCAGGACACUUGAGAGGAGCUAUCCAUAGUACGAGAGGACCUGGAUGGCCGAACCUCUGGUGCUCCGGUUGUCACGCCAGUGGCAUAGCCGGGUAGCCAUGUUCGGAACAGAUAACCGCUGAAGGCAUAUAAGCGGGAAGCUGGCCUCAAGACUAGGUGUCCCUGACGCAAGUCACUAAAGGCCCCUCGAAGACUACGAGGUUGAUAGGCUCGGUGUGGAAGCGCUGCGAGGCGUGGAGCUAACGAGUACUAAUAGGCCGUGCGACUUGACCUC